GGGCCCCGGCUCUCGGUUAUAAGAUGGCGGCGCUGAGCGGCGGCGGCGGCGCGGAGCAGGGCCCGGCUCUGUUCAACGGGGACAUGGAGUCCGAGGCCGGCGCCGGCGCCGCGGACCCCGCCGUUCCGGAGGAGGUGUGGAAUAUCAAACAAAUGAUUAAGUUGACACAGGAACAUAUAGAGGCCCUAUUGGACAAAUUUGGUGGGGAGCAUAAUCCACCAUCAAUAUAUCUGGAGGCCUAUGAAGAAUACACCAGCAAGCUAGAUGCCCUCCAACAAAGAGAACAGCAGUUAUUGGAAUCCCUGGGGAAUGGAACUGAUUUUUCUGUUUCUAGCUCUGCGUCCACGGACACCGUUACGUCUUCUUCCUCUUCUAGCCUUUCAGUGCUACCUUCAUCUCUUUCAGUUUUUCAAAAUCCCACAGAUGUGUCAAGGAGCAACCCCAAGUCACCACAAAAACCUAUUGUUAGAGUCUUCCUGCCCAACAAACAGAGGACAGUGGUACCUGCAAGGUGUGGAGUCACGGUUCGAGACAGUCUGAAGAAGGCGCUGAUGAUGAGAGGUCUGAUCCCAGAAUGCUGUGCUGUGUACAGAAUUCAGGAUGGAGAGAAGAAACCAAUUGGCUGGGAUACUGAUAUUUCCUGGCUUACUGGAGAAGAACUGCAUGUAGAAGUAUUAGAGAAUGUUCCACUCACAACACAUAACUUUGUACGGAAAACUUUUUUCACCUUAGCAUUUUGUGACUUCUGUAGAAAGCUGCUUUUCCAGGGUUUCCGCUGUCAGACAUGUGGCUACAAAUUUCACCAACGUUGUAGUACGGAAGUUCCACUGAUGUGUGUUAAUUAUGACCAACUUGAUUUGCUGUUUGUCUCCAAGUUCUUUGAACACCACCCAGUACCGCAGGAGGAGGCCUCCGCAGCAGAGACUGCCCUCACGUCUGGGUCCUCGCCUUCCGCACCUCCCUCAGACUCUGUUGGGCACCAAAUUCUCACCAGUCCAUCCCCUUCAAAAUCCAUUCCAAUUCCACAGUCCUUCCGACCAGCAGAUGAAGAUCAUCGAAAUCAAUUUGGGCAACGAGACCGGUCCUCAUCCGCGCCCAAUGUUCAUAUUAACACAAUAGAACCUGUCAAUAUUGAUGACUUGAUUAGAGACCAAGGGUUUCGUGGUGAUGGAGGAUCAACCACGGGUUUGUCUGCCACUCCCCCUGCCUCAUUACCUGGCUCACUCACUAGUGUGAAAGCCGUACAGAAAUCUCCAGGACCUCAGCGGGAGAGGAAGUCAUCUUCCUCCUCAGAAGACAGGAAUCGAAUGAAAACUCUUGGUAGACGGGAUUCAAGUGAUGAUUGGGAGAUUCCUGAUGGGCAGAUCACCGUGGGACAGAGAAUUGGAUCUGGGUCAUUUGGAACUGUCUACAAGGGAAAAUGGCACGGUGAUGUGGCAGUAAAAAUGUUGAAUGUGACAGCACCUACACCUCAGCAGUUACAGGCCUUCAAAAAUGAAGUAGGAGUACUCAGGAAAACACGACAUGUGAAUAUCCUACUUUUCAUGGGCUAUUCCACAAAGCCACAGCUGGCCAUUGUUACCCAGUGGUGUGAGGGCUCCAGUUUGUAUCACCAUCUCCACAUCAUUGAGACCAAAUUCGAGAUGAUCAAACUUAUCGAUAUCGCACGGCAGACCGCACAGGGCAUGGAUUACUUACACGCCAAGUCAAUCAUCCACAGAGACCUCAAGAGUAAUAAUAUAUUUCUUCAUGAAGACCUCACAGUAAAAAUAGGUGAUUUUGGUCUAGCCACAGUGAAAUCUCGAUGGAGUGGGUCCCAUCAGUUUGAACAAUUGUCUGGAUCCAUUUUGUGGAUGGCACCAGAAGUAAUCAGAAUGCAAGACAAAAACCCAUAUAGCUUUCAGUCAGAUGUGUAUGCAUUUGGGAUUGUUCUGUAUGAAUUGAUGACUGGACAGUUACCUUACUCAAACAUCAACAACAGAGACCAGAUCAUUUUUAUGGUGGGACGUGGCUACCUGUCUCCAGAUCUCAGUAAGGUACGGAGUAACUGUCCGAAAGCCAUGAAGAGAUUAAUGGCAGAGUGCCUCAAAAAGAAAAGAGAUGAGAGACCACUCUUUCCCCAAAUUCUCGCCUCUAUUGAGCUGCUGGCCCGUUCAUUGCCAAAAAUCCACCGCAGUGCAUCAGAACCCUCCUUGAAUCGGGCUGGUUUCCAAACAGAGGAUUUUAGUCUAUAUGCUUGUGCUUCUCCAAAAACACCCAUCCAGGCAGGGGGAUAUGGUGCGUUUGCUGUCCACUGAAACAAAUUAAAUGAGUGAGAGAUUACAGGAGGGUAGCAACAAAAGGAAAAUACGCGAACACAUGUUUGCUUAUAUGUUAAAUGGAGUAGGAUGUGCUUUUUUUUAAAAAAGGUGAACCAAAGAACACUUGUGGCUUAAAGACUGGAGAUGUUUUUUUCCCAAUCUAAAAUUCAUUCCUAAGAUUGGAUUUUCAACAACCACAGGAGAAUUUGCAGCCUUCAAGUAGCCACACCAUCAUGGCAGCAUCUACUCUUAUUUCUUAAGUCUUGUGUUCGUAAAAUUUGUUAACAUCAAAACACAGUUCUGUUCCUCAAAUCCUUUUUUAAA